rnacentral:rRNA from 1 species
CAGAGACCUCAAGCGUUAUCCGGAAUCAUUGGGCGUAAAGCGUACCGAUAGGCGGUUAAGAAAGUCAGAUGUGAAAUCUCCGAGCUCAACUCGGAAUCUGUCAUUUGAAACUUCUUGACUAGAGGAGCAAAGAGGAAGCUGGAACGAACGGUGUAGUAGUGAAAUGCGUUGAUAUCGUUCGGAACACCAAUAGCGUAGGCAGGCUUCUGGGUGCUACCUGACACUGCUAGGACGAAAGCGUGGGGAGCGAAGGGGAUUAGAUACCCCCGUAGUCCACGCUGUAAACGAUGUACAUUAGGCGCUAGGGAGUAUCGACCCUCUUUAGUGCCAAAGCUAACGCGUUAAAUGUACCGCCUGGGGAGUACGGCCGCAAGGCUAA